CUGCAUAUUUUUGAAUAGUUAGCCAGUAGUAACCCUACCAAAUUACUUUAUAAGGGACCUGCCCCCCAGAUGGUUUUCACAUAUACCCUCAUGCACUUCUCGAAGUGCGUAAUCAGCUUUAUAUGGUAUCAAGCAACGAAGUAAAAGAAGAGAAUAAAUUUUUUUAUAGAAAUUAUUUUUUUGGAGAAUAUACCAUAGAGCUUGUCUUUUAAUGCUUCUGGC
rnacentral:lncRNA from 1 species